rnacentral:lncRNA from 1 species
GGGACCCCUGGACAGUGAAACCUAUCUGGACAAAAUUAAGAAAUUACUGGAAUCAAUAGAAAAGGACAAAAGUUGUUUAAUCAAGGUGAAAAUCCAAUGGGAGACGUUAUCAAGCCAUUUGGCUGACGUGGAUAAGAAGCUGUUGGACAGCCAGAUGAAGCAGCUGGAACACAGCUGGGAACGAGUGGGACGCCUGGUUCAGAAGAAGUACUCUCAGCAUGUAGUAGAAUGGAGUGAAUUCAUCUCCCUCAGGAAUAAGAUCCAUGACACUGAGACUUCUCUGCAGCAGCAGCAGCAGCNNNNNNNNNNNNNNNNNNNNNNNNNNNNNNCGGCAGCAGCAGCAGCAGCAGCAGUGGCCCUGCUCUGAGCUCAGCUCUCCAGAGGAACAGGAUGGGAGCCCAAACAUCGUGGCACUGGCUGCUGAGCUGCAGGCCACCAAGCAUGGAUUUGCUGCUGUCAGGAGUCGAGCUGAACUUCAGAUGAAAAGGAUUUGGGGAGAGAAAGAAAAGAAGAUUUUGGAAGAUGCAAUAAAUAAUUUGAAGAAGCAAUUGGAAGCCUUGGAGCCAUUAAACCUAGAGGUGGAAAGUCAGAUUAAGAAGUGUGACAUAAAGAAGAAGAUGAAAGAGACUCUCCUGUGGGUCAGGAAUCUGUUGGGUGAACUCAUGCCCCCCAUUGCCCUUCUCCCCAACGACAUCCUUUCACAGAUCAGAAAAUGCAAGGGGACGCAUGAUGAAGUUCUGGACAAGCAGCAGGCCAUAGAGUCGCUGGCCAAGGAGGUUAGGGCUGUCAUUCCUAGCCUCACUGCAUCAGAGAGAGAUAAUUUAAAUAGCAUCCUAGAGGACUUACAGAACCAGUACCAAAUGCUAGUUUUAAAAUCAACUCAGAGGUCACAGCAAUUAGAGUUUAAGUUGGAAGAAAGAAGCAAAUUUUUUGAAAUGAUGGGGAAAGCUCAGCUGGCACUUCAAGGACAUGAAGCACUGAUAAUUCCCAAGACGGAAGCGGCCCCCACAGAAGCCGAACUAGAACAACGCCAGGCCACUCUGAAGACAUCCCAGAAAGACCUACAGGAAGUUGAGAGUACAAUCUCAGCACAUCUUCGGGAACUAACAAACAUCUCUGAGGAUCUCAGUGUGUUUGAAAGAUUAUUUUUGGAUAAUCAUUUGAAAAAUCUGGAGACUAGAGUGAGCAGGAUUCAGAGAUGCAUUCAGAGUAAAUGUAAUGAAGUAGAACACAAGAUAAGUUCUUACAGAGAAUUCCAUGAGAGAAAAUCCAUGCUUCAGGAGGAGGUUGACAGUGUACAGCACAAUGACCUACUGCUGAAUCCAAAGAUAAAUCAAGAUGUUAAAGAGGAGCUUCAUAAUCUUAAAGACAGACUUGCUGGCAUUCGAUGUAGCAUCUUACAAAUGCUGAAACUUAGAGAAGUGUUUGACCAUAUAGGACUCAAGUGGGAUGACUCACAGCUUGAUCAGUUACAAACCCAAGUGUUUGAAAAAGAAAAAGAACUUGAAGAAAAAAUUAAGCAGUUGGACGUAUUUGUGGCAGAACAUGGCAAGUAUCAAGCAUCACUAAAUCAAAUGAGGACUAUGGAUUUGCAAAUUAAGAAAAAGGCUGAAUUAGUACUGAAGUCUCCUACUCCUUCACAAGAAAGCAGUCUGCUCAGUGCUCAAAUUUUGAUUGAGAAAACUGAGAAAGCCAAGUGCUUAUAUGAUGACAUAAUUAAGAAAUUAAGUGAAAAUAAGGCAUUUGAUGAUUCAUUCAAAGAGAAAGAAAUAGUCCAACUAAAGGUGGCGGCAGAAGAAAAUGAUAAGUUGCACAGGGUUCUCCAAAACAUGGUGCUAGAAUUCCAGCCAACAGAAGUAGAUGAAAAGCAUUUUCAGGACAAACUGGAAAAUUCCUUACUUGUUUUAAAUCAGAUAAAAUCUCAACUAGAGCAACCUUUGCUUAUAAAUUUGGACAUUAAUCAUAUUCAAAAUGAGAAGGACAAUUGUGAAGCAUUUCAAGAAAAGGUUCAUGCUGAAAUGUAUAGUAUUAAAGCUGUGACUGUUACUGAGAAGCAGAAAGAAGAAAACUCUUCUUUUGAAACUAGAGAUGUGGAGACAAAAUUGCAGGACGUUGAAGAUCUUCACAUGCAGCUUAGCAAAAGCAUUGACUUGUGCACAAAUGUCUUGAACAGUGCUUCUGAGAAUCUAACGUGCUACAGAGCAGCAGUCAGUGGGGCCGUGGAAAUCCUCACUUCCCUUGAAGCCAUGUUCUCAUCCCGAGGAGUGGACCUGCAUGAUCCAGAGGAGUCACUAGCCAUGUCUCGUUAUAAGCAAGAGGAAUUGGAAUCCACAAUAGCAGUCAUCGAGGACCUCACUGAGAAGUUGGGAUCUAUAUCCAGCCCUGAGGCCAAAAUGCAACUUCAGCACACUCUCCAGGACCUGGAGUCUAAGAGCUUGACCUUAAGGGAGGCAGCCCAAGUAAAGAAAGCAGAAAUGGCCAGGUGUCUGGAGGAUUACAAAUGCUAUAGAAGCACUAAAGAAGAAAUCUGUGCUCAUCUCCAGAAACUGGAGAGCACUCUCAGGCUGUCCAUGUCCUCGCUGCCAGUGUCUUACAAAGAGGCUUUGACACGCGUGGAGCAGAGCAAGGGCCUGGUGUCUGACCUCCUGUCCACCAAGGAAGAGUUGACCAAGCUGCGCCAGGUCUCCCGGCACCUGGGACGCAGAUGCGCUGAAAGCGACAGAGUGUGUGUGAGCAAGACCUUGGUGGUGCUGUGGGAGAGGUGGCUCCACCUGCUGGAAGCCGCCAAAGAGUGGGAGAUGUGGAGUGAAGACCUGAAGCAGGAGUGGAAGUUCAUCAGCGAGGAAAUUGAACGAGAAGCAAUUAUUCUAGAAAAUCUUCAAGAGGAACUCCCAGAAAUUCCUAAAACCAAAGAGGCUGCUGGCACCGAGGAGCUCUCUGAGCUGCUGGACACCAUGUGCCAGUUUGAGGAGAGCGUGGAGCAGCAGCGGCUGUUGCUGGCUCUGCUUCUUCAGCGCAUAUCGGGCAUCUGGGUGGUCCCCGAAGGCGCCCAGGCUGCCGAAAUGGUGCCUGCGCUUCAGGAGAUUGGGUCCAUGCAGGAACGAUGCGACAGGUAAGAUCUGUGAGAAAAUGUGCUUGACUGUCCUGGCUCUUAAGUUUUAAAAAGGCCUAAUUGAGAAAAUGUAGAAAUAUUACAGAAUAAUGACAAAUGAUACUACAGAAUUGAGUAGACGCUGAUAGGUAUGAAAAGAGAUGAAACAGGUGAAUAAUUAUAAUUAAAACAAGUGCUGAUUUUCUAUUCUGAUAUUACUGAGUGGGGAUAUCCUUCAAGUUCCUUUG